AACAAACGCUGGCGGCGUGCCUAAUACAUGCAAGUCGAACGGGGAAAGCUUUCGGGUGAGUACUAGUGGCGCACGGGUGAGUAACGCGUGGAUAAUCUGCCUUAGAGUGGGGGAUAACUAGUCGAAAGAUUAGCUAAUACCGCAUAAGACCACAAGAACUGCGGUUCAAGGGGUCAAAGGUUUUUCGCUCUAAGAUGAGUCCGCGUAAGAUUAGCUAGUUGGUAGGGUAACGGCCUACCAAGGCGACGAUCUUUAACUGGUCUGAGAGGAUGAUCAGUCACACUGGAACUGAGACACGGGCCAGACUCCUACGGGAGGCAGCAGUAGGGAAUAUUGCACAAUGGAGGAAACGCUGAUGCAGCGACGCCGCGUGAGUGAUGAAGGCCUUCGGGUCGUAAAGCUCUGUCGCAGGGGAAUAACACAAUGAAGGUACCCUGUAAGAAAGGAUCGGCUAACUUCGUGCCAGCAGCCGCCGUAAUAC
rnacentral:rRNA from 1 species